UAGCUAUUAAAUGAGGUAUAAUGUUGAAGUAAUUGCUAUAAUAUAAAUAUACACCAAUCACUAUAAAGAAGCAAUUAUUUAUUUUUGUUUUCGCUCAUUUUCAUUGAGACGUAUUGACAAAUCGAAAUCUCAUUAAAACAGAUGUUUACCACUGCAACAGAAAUUACUUUAGAUAUUUACAUACUGACUUCUGGAGUUACAGAUACUUGCCUGCUGAAGAUGAAAGAAUCUCAAGCUCCAGCUGUUUGUUAUCAGCAUUCCAACUGAUUAUUUUUCCCUCCUUCAAAAAAACAACAAAAACGGUCCUAUGGUGAAGCAUAGCAAAUUUGACAAGUAUUUCAUAUUACAUUACAAGGAUAUGCUUGAACACAGCCAGAGCAUAUAUUUCUAUUUGAUGAAGUCUUUUGUCCAGUUCUGAAAAAAUCUGUUAAAGUAUUAAACAAUUAACUUUACUAAUUUCAGUUCAUUUAAAACUUUUUAAUGCCAAUAACCCCAAAUCUUUUAUUGCUACAUUAAUCCACAAUGACUGUGGCAAUCAGUCAGCUAUAAAUCAAGUUCUUUGAAACUGCUACAAAGAUAUGUUUUUAGUAAUUCCAUGAAAUGUCUUGACAACUUCAAACAAAUGUGCCAAGUCUUUCAAUGUUCUUUUGCAUCCAAAAGCUUGGAAUUUUUCCUCACAUUUUAAAUUGUUUGCUCUUAAAUCAGCAGUAUUGUUUACAUGUGUUUUUCUAUUGCCAACACUUUAAUAUUUUGAAUAUUUAUAUUGGAAAUAAUCUGCAUGGUAACAUGAGGAGUGGGGGGGAAUAUACAAUGCACAGAAUUAUAAAAUAUCUAAGACUCCCCCAAAACCUUGUCUUACCCACUAUAGUAUUAUACAUACAUUUUUUGAAAAAAUACCUUGUAGUCAGAUACUUCAGGAGUGUAAUUUUCAGUUAAUUCCAAAAGCUGUUAAAAGAAAAAUAUAAAUCAUUAAAAGACAUGAAAAAUUGUAUCUCCUGCUUCUGGCCCUUGCUGACCCACUUACUAUCCAGCCUGGGCCCUAUCACUGAGGGGAAAUGCAUAAGAGCUGUGCAUUCUGCUCCUAGAUCCUAAUGCUUGCCCCAGCUAGUAUUCCAUGACUGAUUGCUCCAGUGGCUUUCCAUUCAGCUUGGACUUCAAGAAGAGAUCACUGUGACUCCAGUUUCCUCAGCACCAGUGAAUGUUUUCUUUAUUUUUGAUUUUGGAAAUGAAGGAGCAUUAUUUUUAUAGCAAAUUUUGCAAUGAUGUCACAGAAACACCAGAUAGAAAGAAAGAGUAACUUAAGAGGAUUUUCAUAGUGACUUUAUUUUUGUGUGUGUGAAGCACUUCUCUCUGGGGUGGUCUUUAAGGAGUUGUUCGUAUCACAAUAGCUUUUCCAAGGAAAAGAGGCGUUCUGGGAAGGUUCAAAGUCAGCUUGAUUAACUGAGGCUUGACUCACGUGGUCUGAGGGAAGGAUCUAUUAUACAGAUUUGUCUACGAAUUCCUACUGAAAUUGAGGUGGAGAUGGCGAGUAUGACAUUUCUUUGCUUAUGUUGUCAUUCUAUUAAGUUAAAACAAAAUAAACUUAAACGCACUAGUUCAAAAGCUUUCUAAAAUAGAGGCAUCAAUUGAUUCCUUUCAAGUUGUGUCUUUAGAGUAAGACAAUUUGAAAAUAUAUGCACAAUCAAAACUGUAGCAGGUGCUUUUAUUCAAGAAAAUACUUGGUUAGAGAAAUUAAUGAAUAAUUUUAGAGCUACUAGCAAAUACAAGGUAUACCAGAAGGCUUAGAGGGCUUCGAACCAGUCAGAGUUCCAGAUUUCUUAUAAAAAGACUUAGACAAAAAUGCCAUUCACCGAUGAAGGUGAAAAGGGGUUCUUUGAAUACCCAGUUCUUAUGCUAAUGGUUGAAGGCCUAGCUUUAUAGUUCAUCUGGAAAGGUUGUGAUGUCAAUCCUACUGGGACCCAUUUUUCCUCAUCUAACUUACAAGCUAGGGGAACCAAGGUUAACUGCAUAUCAGGAUAAAUGCAAACAUAUUGUCUGAUACUUCUAGAGCAACAAUCACUAAAUAAUGCAAGUUUGAACAUUGCAACAUUUUUGGAUGUCACAGCUAAAGUAAUAAAUUGCAAAAUUUAUUAUACUGGUACAUCUGAGCCAUAUGACUAAACACUAUAUAUUUUAGGAUUUCCUUACCUUAAAGGCAAUUUUCCCCCCUACUUGUGGAGGGGCAGCUAAUAGAGGUAGUACACUAUAGUCCCUCUUUGGAACUUCCACUGGAUUCUGUAAAAUAAACAUUAAACUUAUUGAUUCAAUUACUUAACAAAAGCAAAUAAGUAAUAUUAAUGCUGUAUGAAAGAAAACUCAGAAAAUCCAUCACACAAACCAGCAUCCAACCCAAAAGGCAGAGCACAAGCUAUGUGUAUAAUAUAAAACAACAGUAUUUUACAAACACUUGUUCAGGAUGUGAGUUAGCUGUCCUUAACCAUAUGAACAGUACAGUUGUAUUCUUUACACUGGGCUUAUUCUUAUCUGUUUUGUUUUGUUUUUACAAUUUAUGCUCAUUUGAUGUGAGAGGCAGUGUUCCCUGGUGGAUAGAGCACUCAGUUGGGACUCUGAAGACCUGAGUUCUAUUCCCAGUUCUGGCACUGGCCUGUUGGGUGACCUUGGGCAAAUCACUUCUCUUCACUUCAAUUUCCUAUCUGUAAAAUGGGCAUAAUGAUAUCGACCUUCUUUGUUAAGUGCUUUAAGAUCUAGUGUUGAAAAGCAUGAUAUAAGAGCUAGUGGUAUUACUGUGUUUUUGUAUAUUCAAUUACUAACAUUUUAGUAAGAAAACUAUAAAUUUAAAAAAAAAAUCUUUAAAGAAAUGUGUUAUAAGGAUAUAAAUAGUCACUCA